CUCUCUCCCGGGCCGGGGAGGAGCCGCCCCGCCGCCUCCCCAGCGCGGCCAACCCCCGGCUGGCCCAGCCCCCGCCCCGGGCCGGCCAUAGGGCGCUGGGGGGGCGGGGGAGACCGGGGGCGCGGCUUUGUGGCGGCAGCGGACCGUGGAGGCCGGGUGCAGCCCCGUCGGCUGCGCGCUCUCUGCAGAAAAGGAUUUUCUACGCUCCCCGCCCAUCACUUGGAUCUCGUCUGGGGAGGGGCGGAUUUUUUUUCUGGAAGUACCCAGCUUUCCACAGUGGAGGAUUUAAGGCUGGGCUCGAAUCGAGGCGGAGGCUGCAGGGCCCGCGGGGCGCCCCCCGCCCGGCGCAAGCCUGCCAGGAGCCUGGGAAGGCGCAGCCCGGGGGGAGGGGGACCCUGCACCCCCGGAGGCUGACACCUCCCGUGCCAAGUUUCCAGGGGAAACAACAUUCUACUGUGAGAUUAUAAACCACUAGAGAAAAGACGAGAAUGGAAAAGCCGCCGAGAAUCAGCUCUACAUGCCCAGAACUGGGCUGCUAAGAGAUGUGAAGCCACGAGACGUUCGGUAAUCUUCUACAGCAGUGCUGUCCAAGACAGUAGCUAUUAUGGCCCCUUGUGACUACUGGUGUGUAAAUUAGUUAAAAUUAAAUAAAUUUUAAAGUUUACUCCCUAGGCUGCGCUAGCAAUGAGUUCAAGUGCCCGACAGUCCUGUGUGGCUGAAGGUUACCACGCUGGACAGUGCGGAUAUAGACCAUUUGAAGGCUGUACAAGUGCUGCCGAUUAGCACUAAUUCAGAUAUCCUUUCUUUGAGAUGGAGUCUCGUUCUGUCGUCCAGGCUGGAGUACAAUGGCACAAUCUCAACUCACUACAACCUCUGCCUCCUGGAUUCAAGCGAUUCUCCUGCCUCAGCCUCCUGAGUAGCUGGGACUACAGGUGCAUGCCACCACGCCCAGCUAAUUUUUGUAUUUUUAAUAGAGAUUCACUGGCCAGGCUGGUCUCAAACUCCUGACCUCAGAGGAUCUAUCUGCUUCAACUUCCCAAAGUGCUGGGAUUAUAGGCGUGAGCCCACGCCCGUCAGGUUCAGAUUUCAUAGCUAGAACCUGGCAGUGCCAGAAUUCAAGCUUACGUUAAUGGGCUUUGAAGACAGAAUUCAUCUGCUAGGCCAAGAACCAAGGAACAGAGCAGGAUUCUAACCCCUACCUACACAGUAGAAUUAUCUGCAAUUCUUUUUUUUUUUUGGAGACAGAGUCUAGCUCCAUUACCCAGGCUGGAGUGCAGUGGCUCGAUCUCAGCUCAAUGCAACCUCUACCUUCUGGGUUCAAGUGAUUCUCCUGUCCCAGCCUCCCAAGUAGCUGGGAUUUUAGGUGCCUGCCACCAUGCCCAGCUAAUUUUUGUAUCUUUAGUAGAGACAGUGUUUUGCCAGGUUGGCCAGGCUGGUCUCAAACUCCUUACCCCAGGUGAUCUGCCUGCCUUGACCUCCCAAAGUGCUGGAAUUACAGGCGUGAGCCACCAUGCCUGGCCUACCUGCAAUUCUUUAAAAAAAAAGAAUGACGGUAGUGUCCCAGGCCCAGAGAAUCUGACUUCACUGUGAUUAAGGUGGGUGGGGACAGGCAUCAGAGAGUUUUUAUACUUCCCCAUGUGAUGCCACUGUGCGGCCAGGAUGGUGAGCAGCGAGGUGUGAGGACCCACACAGAGGACACUGGAAGCAGCUGGUUCAUCUACUAUGAGAACGCAGAUACCCAUGUAAGAUCACAGAAACAAGGUGAAAAACCUGUAGCCCCAAAUUGGAAUUGGAAACAUCAGUACGAAUUUGUGCUAUAUUUUUGUCUUACAAAGUAAAGCAGGUGUUUGCUAGCUCUGUCCACAGCAAAGUUUAGAAGUAAUGAGCCAUCCAGUAGCAGUGAACACCUAGCAGCCAGGUUAUGGUCUCUAAAUACCACUUCAAACUAGAGAGGGCAUGGAGACAUGAUCAAUUCUAGGUCAGAGGCAAGAAAAAAAGUAAACGGGAGCAUGGAACAUCUGGUCAUUCCUUGCUUCCUUCAUAGCAAGAAAGCUGUCAAUGAUCUUCAGCGUCAUAUUGAGAAGGAUGCAGGAGACAAUGUGGAGAGACUCCCAAGGGAAGCAUUUGAGCAUCAUUAAGAAUAAUGACUGUUGGUCAUGUGCGGUGACUCACGCCUGUAAUCCCAGCACUUUGGGAAGCCAAGGUGGGCAGAUCACUUGAAGUCAGGAGUUCGAGACCAGCCUGACCAAUAUAGUGAAACCAUGUCUCUACCAAAAAUACAAAAAAUUAGCCAUGUGUGGUGGUGUGCACAUAUAAUCCCAGCUACUUGGGAAGCUGAGGCAGGAGAAUCGCUUGAACCUGAAAGGCAGAAGUUGCAGUGAGCCAGGAUUGUGCUACUUCACUCCAGCCUGAGUGACAGAGUGAGACUCUUUGUCUCAAAAAAAAAAAAAAAAAAGAAUAAUGACUGUAAUGGAUUGAAACAUGUCCAAAUCUAGGAGUUGACAAUGAUACUUUAAAAGAGCUGGGCAUGGUGGCUCAGGCCUGUAAUCCCAGCACUUUGGGAGGCCGAGGAGGGAGGAUCACAAGAUUAAGAGAUCAAGACCAUCCCGGCCAACAUGGUGAAACACCGUUUCUACUACAAAUACAAAAAUUAGCGGGGCAUGGUGGUGCACAGCUGUAGUCUCAGCUACUUGGGAGGCUAAGGCACUAGAAUUGCUUGAACCCAGGAGGCAGAGGUUGUAGUGAGCCAAGGACAUGCCACUGCACUCCAGCCAGGUGACAGAGUGAGACUCUUUGUCUCAAAAAAAGAAAAGAAAAGAAAAGAAAAAUUCAUUUGUCACCUUUGGAGGAUAUUGGAAAACCAACUCAUUUUGAAAACUGUCAAAGAAAGGGAAAGAAACAUUUAUCCUUUCUGGUACAAACCAUUCUUUUUGGCAGCCAAAUCGUUGAGAAGUUUAUAUCUUUUAUAGACCUAUUUCUAUUACCAAAGACAGAAUCAUAGAAUCAGUAUGCCACCAUGUUGUAAUCUCUAAUGAAAUAAUGCGCCAGGUGUCGUGGCUCAUGCUUGCAAUCCCAGCACUUUCAGAGGUCGAGGUGGAGGACUGCUUGAGGCCAGAAGUUCAAGACAGGCCUGGGCAACAUAACAAGACCCUGUCUCUGCAAAAAGAAAAAAAAAAUUAUCCAGAUAUGGCCAUGUACCUGCAGUCCCAGCUAAGGUGGGAGGAUCCCUUGAGCCCGGGAGGUCAAGGCCACAGAGAGCUAUGAUUGUACCACUGCACUCUAACCUAGGUGACAAGAACAAGACCUCAAAAAAAAGAAAGAAACUGCAGAGCUAGACAAUGAUCAUCAACAAUAGCUGCUAACAUCACAAAGAGGAACAACCAGAUAUUAUGUGCCUUUGAACGGAAGCACAUAACCCCCAACAGGAAGUAGUCAUACCAAAAAAAAAAAAAAAAAUCAAACAUUGAUCUAAGUGAGCUUCUACAGACUCACUUCUAGACCUAACUACUAAUUUCUAAGAAAUAUAGCGGGAAGAGGAACACAUAACAUUUCUAUGGAGAUGCUAUAACCAAGGUUCAGACCACAGGAAACCAACAGAACGACAGUACUGCGUCCACCUACUGCUGGCAUCUCUGGGACAAGCCUGAGUAGUAGUAGGCUUGAGAUAGAUCUUCACACAUCCCACCCCCGUCUCCAUGGUAACCAGUGGGGAGGAAAAGGCGCAUCCACAAAGUUCUGGUCCCCAUAAGGGUGAGGCCAGGCCUCCAAUGUCCUGUGCCAGGCCCUGUGCUGCUGCUGUCUUGGGAGAACUCCCAUAAGAGCUGCCUCCCUCCAUCCCUUCCCCAUCACCCCGGCCCUCCCUCUGUGCCCCCUGAAGCAGCAGGGCCAGUCAGUGGAGAGAAUAGGACCCUGAAUCAGAUCCAGGUUCAAAUUCUGACUUCACCACUUAAUUGCAGGAUCAGUAACCUCCCUGAGCCUCAUUUUUUCAUCUAUAAAAUGGGCAUACAGUUUUAUUUAAUGUUAAAAGAAAGAAAGGGGCUGGGCGUGGUGGCUCAAGCCUGUAAUCCCAGCACUUUGGGAGGCCAAGGCGGGUGGAUCAUGAGAUCAAGAGAUCGAGACCAUCCUGGUCAACAUAGUGAAACCCCGUCUCUACUAAAAAUACAAAAAAAUUAGCUGGGCAUGGUGGCGCGUGCCUGUAAUCCCAGCUACUCAGGAGGCUGAGGCAGGAGAAUUGCCUGAACCCAGGAGGCGGAGGUUGCGGUGAGCCAAGAUUGAGCCAUUGCACUCCAGCCUGGGUAACAAGAGUGAAACUUUGUCUCAAAAAAAAAAAAAAGAAAAAAAGGGCAGGGGGGCUGGGCAUGGUGGCUCAUUCCUAUAAUGUCAGCACUUUGGGAGGCUGAAGCAGGAGGAUCGCUUGAGCCCAGGAGUUUUAGACCAGCCUGGACAACAUAGUGAGACCUCAUCUCUACAAAAAAUUUUUUAAAAAUAGGCCAGGUGCUGUGGCUCAUGCCUGUAAUCCCAGCUGAGAUGGGCAGACUGCUUAAGCUCAGGAGUUCAAGACCGCCUGGGCAACAGGGCAAAGCCUUGUGUCUACUAAAAAUACAAAAACUAGUGGGGAAUGGGGGUGCAUGCCUGUAGUCCCAGCUGCUCGGGAGACUAAGGUAGGAGGAUCACCUGAACCCUGGAGGUCGAGGCUGCAGUGAACUGUGAUUGCACCACAGCACUCCAGCCUGGAGGACAGAUGAGACCCUGUUUCAAAAUAAGAUAAUAAAAAGAAUAUAUAAGGAGGGCGUAAUGUGACCUUUGUUCAGUUAGUUGCUCAACAAAUCUUUAUUAUGAAUGGACAGUGACAAAAAAGGAUCUAAUCUCCAACUCAUGGAACUCGACUCAGGGGUGAAAAGCAGUCUCCAUAGAGCGAAGUGCUGUGACAACAUCCAUGUAUGUCAGGAUGCUUACCCAUAGCCCACUUUUUAAAACAAUUGGCAGUCGAAACUCCCAGUCAUACUUUUCAUUACCCAGAACAUCCAUACCUUCCAACUACUGAGUAUCUAGCUAUGGCAAACACACAGGAUCAUUUCAUUUAGUGUUCACAUUGAUUGAUUGAUUGAGAUGGAGUCUUUCUGUGCUGCCCAGGCUGGAGUGCAGUGGCAUGAUCUCAACUCACUGCAACCUCUGUCUCCCAUCAAGUGAUUCUCCUAACUCGGCCUUCUGAGUAGCUAGGAUUAAAGGAACACACCACCAUGCCCAGCUAAAUUUUGUAUUUUUUUUUUUUUUUUUUGAGAUGGAGUUUCGCUGUUGUUACCCAGACUGGAGUGCAAUGGCACGAUCUCGGCUUACCGCAACCUCUGCCUCUUGGGUUCAGGCAAUUCUCCUCCCUCAGCCUCCUGAGUAGUUGGGAUUACAGGCGCACACCACCAUGCCCAGCUAAUUUUUGUAUUUUUAGUAGAGACGGGGUUUCACCUUGUUGACCAGGAUGGUCUCGAUCUCUUGACCUCGUGAUCCACCUGCCUUGGCCUCCCAAAGUGCUGGGAUUAUAGGCGUGAGCCACCAUGCCCGGCCAACUUUUUUAUUUUUAGUAGAGACGAGGUUUCACCAUGUUGGCCAGGCUGGUCUCAAACUCCUGGCCUCAAGUGAUCCUUCCACCUUGGCCUCUCAAAGUCCUGCGAUUACAGGCGUGGGCCACUGCACCUGGACUAGUGCUUACAUUUCUAUGAGCUAAGUCAUGUUAUUUCCAUCUUGUGGAGGAAGAAGCUUAGACACAAGUGAGAUAGGUUGCCCAAGGCCACACUACUGGUAUGAGGCCCCUGUCUUCUGUGCUCAGCGCUCUGUGCACUGAUGAAGCUUUGAAAUGCCAAAGCAGGGCUCAGAAAUCAGUGCUGCCAGGAGACUGAAAAGCUCUCCAGACCAUUUUCCAGAUGAAGAAACAGUGGCCCAGAGAGGCCAAGUAACUUGACUGGGGCCACAUCGCAAAUUGCUGGCUAAGCCUGUCUGUGCUCAUGCUGCUUGGGGAGAUGGUGCAGGGAAGCCCUAUUCGGGUCCAUGUAAUGAAUACUGUCCCAAAGCAGGGUGGCCAGCCAUCCCUUGUGCCUAGGACUAGGAGGUUUUUGGGACUGGAGACAUGAGGUGCUAAAACCAGGAAAACCUUGGGCCAACUGGGAUUAGCUGGGCAUUCCACCCCACAGACAAUAAGGUGUCUAAAUUGUCAUUUCCAGGAAAUGAGGCUUUGGGAUGAAGCUGGCUGACAACAACCAUCAAGACCCCAUUGAAGGACUAGGGUUUUGUGUCUCCGAUACCCUGGAGGUUCCGCCCACAUGUCAUCUCAGUGGCCUCUGCAGGGGUCCAUGGCUUGGCAUCCUAUUCUACCCCCAAAGCAACUUAAGUGCUAGAAAUCAUAAACCUAAUUGUCCCAUGCCCCAGUAUGCAAACCUAAAUGGUUUCUCAUUUUCCCCCCGUUGCCUUAGGACAAACUAUAUAAACUUUGCUGGCCCAGGAGACCCUUGGUGCACUUGCCUCUGUACACCUGGUCCAGUCUCUCUCUGCAAUCCACCCCACCUCACCCCUACGAAAUUCUAAGCAAGGACAAGAUAAGAUUUCUCACUGCACCCUCCCUUCACCCACGUAACCCUUUUCUUAGCAUCCCACCCUUUCUUCUGUGACAUCAGUGCAAAUGUAAUCACACAGCUAUUUGUAUAAUUAGCUGAUUAUUAAUAUCUAGCCUCCCCCCCCCCCGGCUAGACUGUCAGCCCACAGGGGCAGGGGUGGGUGUGUGACGUUCACUGUUUUGUAGCCUGUCUCAGUGGAGACACAUGAAUGACACUCAAAAGUCAUUGAAUGGACCAGGCAUGUGGCUCACACUUGUAAUCCCAGCACUUUGGAAGGCCGAGGCAGGUGGAUCAUCUGAGGUCAUGAGUUUGAGACCAGUCUGACCAACAUAGCAAAACCCUGUUUCUACUAAAAAUACAAAAAAUUAGCUGGAUGUGGUGGUGCAUGCCUGCAGUCCCAGCUACUGGGGAGGCUGAGGCUGCAGUGAGCUCAGAUUGUGCUACUGCACUCCAGCUUGGGUGACAGAGCGAAUCUCCAUCUUAAAAAAAAAAAAAUGGGGAGGGUGGGGGGAAGUCACUGAAUGGUCCCACAAAAAAACUGCUAUCAUCUCCGACUGUGCCUCCUUCUGAAAUCACAGAAACCCUCUAUAGCCAUCUGGAUCUCCACUUCCCAUUUCAGUCAGGCUGCUAUCCAUGAUGUCGCAGGAUGGAAGAUGACCCCAGAAAAAGACUGGCAAAGAGACAGGCUCCUGAAGGAGGACGUGGCAGGCAGGACUGGUGUGUUUUCAAUUAUUCUACCUGUUCCGACCACACUUUCCUAGUUCUGCUCACACCCCUGCUUCAGCAGUAGCUGAGGACGACAGAAAAACAUCAGCCCCAGAGUCUGAGACAAGAUAUGUCACUGGUUCCCUCUUUGCUGGUAAUUAAUGCUGAAAAGUUUCAUUACUUACCUUGGCAGCAAAGGUACUAAUACAAACGCACAGCCUGAUUAUUUGGCUGCUAACUCCCUUCUUGGUGUUUUCCUUCUCCUUUCCUUAAAUUAAUUCCAGAGUUCUUCCAGAUUUCUCGUUGCUAAGCUAUAAAGUUCCAGGUUUCCGCAGCAUGGCUGCUAACUGGCAGGGAGCUCCCAGGCAGCUCCAAUCAGAACCAGGUUGUUGAAAGGAGCGUCCACACUACAGCUCGCUCAGAGGUUUUGGAAUGUUCUCGCUGACGUUAUGAACCGCAAAGGUCUUUGCGUAACUCUGCAGAACCUGUUUUCUUGAUUUGGCUGUUGGGGGACACCAGAGGCCUUGGAAUUUCCCUAGGAGGCAUGGGGAGUCCCUGGGUCUCCUGGUUAGGAUCAGUGACAGGGAUGCUCAGAGCCCAUUCAUGCUGGCCACAGACAAUGUGAUCCCUAAAACUGUUGCAGAAAAGGUCCCUCAAGUCCCCCAGGACUGACCUCUUCCACCCAUCUCCCAAGCAUGCUGACAGACUAUCUGGAGGAGGCUGAGGACAUCUCUGAACUUGGGAUUUUGGGGUGAAGGCCACAUUUGUAAAGGACUUUAAACAACCAAACGGAGGGCCAUUUGGUGACCUGAUACCUCCAGAAUCAUAAUGAAAACCAUCACUAUGAAUUGAGUUUCUACUGUACGCCACAAACCACAUUUCCACAUGUUCCCAACCGAAACUCCCAUCGGACCGGCUGGGAACCUGUCAGCAGCUGCACUGUUGGUUCUACUUGUCUGCGGCCAUCUUCCAGGAGCAGAAAGUCAUGUGACCCAGGCCUGGCUACUGUGAUUGGCUCUGUGAUGAGCACCUGACCAAGCUGAGCCAAUCAGAAUCUUCUCAAGACUCCUGCUAGAUAAGAAAAGACUCCCCAGCCCCACCAUUGCUGAGCUGGUGCCCACUGGGAACACACAUGGACGGUGCCAGAGAAAUAUAAGAAGCCCUCCAAGAUACGGAGCCCCUGUGACAAUGCUUAAGCCUCAGAUGCAGCUCUAGGGAAGCCAGAUCUACUUCCUGGAUUUGACAGUUACCGGAAUAGUAAAUUCUUUUUUUGCUUAAGCCA